rnacentral:rRNA from 1 species
AUUCCAGCUCCAAUAGCGUAUAUUAAAGUUGUUGCGGUUAAAAAGCUCGUAGUUGGAUUUCUGUUGAGGACGACCGGUCCGCCCUCUGGGUGAGCAUCUGGCUCGGCCUUGGCAUCUUCUUGGUGAACGUAGCUGCACUUGACUGUGUGGUACGGUAACCAGGACUUUUACUUUGAGGAAAUUAGAGUGUUUCAAGCAGGCAUACGCCUUGAAUACAUUAGCAUGGAAUAAUAAGAUAGGACCUCGGUUCUAUUUUGUUGGUUUCUAGAGCUGAGGUAAUGAUUAAUAGGGAUAGUUGGGGGCAUUCGUAUUUAACUGUCAGAGGUGAAAUUCUUGGAUUUGUUAAAGACGAACUACUGCGAAGGCAUUUGCCAAGGAUGUUUUCAUCA